rnacentral:lncRNA from 1 species
CGGAGAGGGUACUGUGAAGUUAUUUAUUUGAGAUACUCUUUAAAAUGAUUAUCACCUUGGUUGCCUUCUUUACACACGGAUAUGCGUUCGCCUUUGGGGGGGGCAAUUCUUUCAUUGGAUUGCAAUACUUUCUCAUUCUGGACAAGACAAACGUGGUGCACUUCUUCUUCAACUAUGUUCGCUGUGCCGUGGCUACUACUCUGGCACUUGGGGCUGUCAACGAACGGACAGAACCAAUCGGCUACCUCAUAGCUGCAUAUGUUUUCUCAGGACUAAUCUACCCUCUGGCCUGUCAUUGGAUCUGGGACCAGCAAGGCAUCUUCAGUCCAACCUCCACCUCCAGUCCAGCACAGGACCAUGCAGGUAGCGGGGUCAUCUUCCUACUGGGUGGAGCAACUGCAGCAGUUUCACUGUACAUUAUAGGGCCCCGGGACGGUCGCUGGAGCUCCCAUUUCAAACGGAAAGCGCACGUUCAGUCAAUGGUGGUGCUUGGGGGAGGCCUUCAAAUGCUGGGCUUCUUCGGCCUGGCGAUGGGCGCUCACCCCCGUCUGCUGGGCGCUGAGGGGGGCCAGCUGCUGGGGCGGGCCGUCGUCAACCUGCUGCACAGCGCUUCAUCUGGAGGACUUUACGGACUGAUUCUCCAACGCUUCGACAAGAACUACUAUGAUCUGGACAGCAUGUCCUCUGGGGCCAUUGCUGGAAUGGUGGCGGUGGGUGCCGGGUUGGACACGUACACGCCGGGUUUGGCGGUGAUGUGUGGGGUCACAGCUUCUCUCUUCUUUUUUGCCGUGCGCCGCUUAUUAUGUGCCAUAAAGGUGGACGACUCCCUAAACAUAAUCCCAGGAUAUUUGGUUCCAGGAGCCUGGGGUUUGAUCUAUGCCGGUUUUUUCUCUGACGGUGGGCUUAUUGGUGGACAUCCCCAGGUGUUGACCAACAAUUUAAUUGUGAUGCUAGUAUUACUUCUCUGGGCUGUGGUUAUGUACCCUGUCCUCUCAAUGCUCAUGUGUUUCGGACUGCUGCGCGUCCCCCAGUUCGUAGAGAAACAAGGAAUUGACAAGAUCAGACACACAUUAAGACAACCUAACACUGCCACGAUGUCACUGAACUGA